UACGGAGGGGGCUAGCGUUGUUCGGAAUUACUGGGCGUAAAGCGCACGUAGGCGGCUUUGUAAGUUAGAGGUGAAAGCCCGGGGCUCAACUCCGGAAUUGCCUUUAAGACUGCAUCGCUAGAAUUGUGGAGAGGUAAGUGGAAUUCCGAGUGUAGAGGUGAAAUUCGUAGAUAUUAGGAAGAACACCAGUGGCGAAGGCGACUUACUGGACACAUACUGACGCUGAGGUGCGAAAGCGUGGGGAGCAAACAGG
rnacentral:rRNA from 1 species